CUCAAGGCCCCUCACCAUCUCCACAGCCCUCUUUGACACUCGCUAAUGGCCUCAUAGCCUUCUUAUAUUGUGACACCCCAAACUGCCCCCAGCACUGGAGAGAAGCAGCUCGUGGUCUUUCCAGGAGGCAGCUGAGCAGACUGCCUGAAGGGCAGGAGAGGGCAUCAUGCCAGCUGGGAGGAAGGUCAGCCUGGGUCACACACCUCCAUUCCUAGCAUGGCGUCCACCUCCACCAGUCUGGACAAGCUCAUGGCAAACAACUCUGUGUGGUCCUCAGAGCCUGCCAGGGGGAGAAAUCCCUAUUGCUAAGGAAGUCCCAGGCAGAGGAUGAGGAGAGGGGACAGAACAAGGCUGUGAAGGAGAUGAGAACUGAUCAGUACAAAGUAGGUCAAGAACUCCUGAGAGACACAGUGACUGCUUUUGAUUUUUCUACCUUGAAGUUCAAAGAGCAUGAGUGUUUCUCCAGAAGAGGGUAGAUGGUACUAGAAAAAGGCGUGGAAAUGAUCUUACCUCAGAGAGGAACAGCAACGAGGAACUUGGAAGACUUUCACCUGUCUCAUACAUUGGAAUGUGCCUGUCUUGCUACACACAGGUUAAGCUCACACCUCAGUCUUCUGGAUUUGGAUCCAGGUUCUUUCUGGAAGCUGAUUGGAUGUGAUGUUUUUGUGGACAAGAUGUGUGGAUCUGUGGUGAUGAGGGAUCAGCAGUUCACAGUCAGCUAUUGUGACCAACAUGGUGCAGAUUUAUUCUUCCCAAAGAAGUCUUACAAAGUUAAUAAUCUAGACACUAGGUUUAAGUGCAGUAAUAGAUAGGUCAGAAUGCAGAAAAAACAAGCUGUAGGAGGUGCAUUCACUGGAGCUAUUAGAAAUCUGUGGGACAAGUUUACUCGUGCCUGCAGUGAGACACAUUUGAACAUACAAAUGGCGUGCAUAUCUCACUCUCUGUAUUCACGGAGUAGAGCUCCUCAAGUGCUGCCAGUGGUAUUUUACUGAAGCCAGAUUAUGUCUCAAAGCACACAGGCACUUUAGCAAGGAAGGAAGGAAUGGUCCUUUUCAUGGAGAACACUGCCAUCUUGUGCACAAUUGCAUUUACUUAGUGCCCGACAUGAUUGUGAGAAAUUAUACUGCAUAACUGGCUCACUCUUCUUGCCUCUCAUGAAAACUCCAGCAGAGUUCAAGCCCUUGAAUGAAGAAGUAUCUCGAAACAGCAUCAGGUGUUCCAGUCCUCAAGCAAUGAUAACCAGAUCUGAACUGCUUUCUGGGCUAGCACAUUUUUCGUUUUUGUCUGCCCAGGACCUUCAAUAAGUAUACUUAAUGAAGAAAGCCAGCUGUAUUGCAAUGAAAUCAAUAAAAUGGAAAAACAGGACUGACAAAGUUCUACAAAAGCUUUUGCUCUUUAACCAGUGGAAUAGCAGAAUUUAUUCACAGACUAUCUGCAUGUGCUGGAAGCCAUGCAGACUCACUCUAAGUACAGCAAGAGUAGAGAACUCCUGUGCAGGAAAAUCUGGCACAGAUGGACAAAUAGACAAACCAACAACUACUCUCAUUUAGCAAUUGCCCUCACACUGUGCUUCAUAGCUCACUGCAGAUAUAAAUUACAGAAAAACUUGAAAUACCAAUAUAUGGUCAGUAAGCCGGAACAUCAUGGUGAGGAAUAUGAGACCCAGAGAAGCUAGUUUUUUUAUGUAAGGAAGAGCUGCCAGAGCUAUAACAGGAAAAGCCAAUCCCAUUUCCAUGCCUCAUCCAUUACUAUGUCCUCCCCAAAAUGCAGAGCAAUGUGUAUCACAGCAGCCUGGGAGUCCUUCUGCAGAGGUAUGAGACAGAUCAGGCACCCAUCAUUCUCAGGAUUUCCACACUACAUUGCCAUCCACAUUCUUUUGAUCAUCUCCUUCAUGCAGGAAGGUCUGCUUCAGCAAUACAGCUUUGGUUUUUCCUUUGGAAGAGCAGAGAUGCAGACACUCACCAUCCCUUGUCAGGUUCAUGCCACCGAACACCAAAGGCCCAAUGAACUGAGCUUUGAUGUCUCCCUCCAGGUACACAAAUAUCGUGGGCAGGUUCUUGUCGGGGUAGUUGGGAAUGCAGGUGGUAGAGAUAGCUUUGAUGAAUUUCACGUCUCUGAACUUCUUUGCAAGCCCACUCAUAUGUUGAUUUAUUAAGGCACAGAGUGGAAUUCUGCGAAGAACAGCAACAGACACACAUAAGGAGAAAACAAGAGACAACUUCAAAAGUAAACAGCUCCAGAAGAAAGGUCAGAAAUAUCAGAUCGAUGAGUUUCUGCAAUGACAGAAGUACCAGAAGCAACUUCUGUAUUCCAGCAUUCAAAGGAGAUCAGCACUACUAGAGAUUCUGGUGUGUGGUGGGUUUUUUGUCUGAAUAUAUUAAUAAUGCAACCUUCUCCUCUAUCCCCUUUUUAUUAUGGGAAAGUGGUUUAUGAAUUUAAGAUACUUAGAAAUUGCAUGAGCAAGGGCAAAAUAAAAACAAAACUGCUCCUGGAAGAAGCAAAAUAUGAUCAACACCUGAGGCAAUUAGAGACAAAGAACAACAGCAACUAUUUAUAACCUUUCAAAAAAAAAUCUAGCAACGUUAACAGACCUUUCUGACAAGGUCUUCUAUCAUGGUGACAGGACUGCAACCCUUGCUCACUCCAUUUGUAUGCCACUAGAAACCAAGCUAAAUACACACUGAUCCUUCCUAUUCACAGCCCCUUGCAUUUGAUCCAGAAUAACUUCCAAAGCUUGGAUAUUCCAGUGGCAGCAGCUACCUCUAUGGAAGCUGUAUGGUACACAUCUUGCUGUGUUGUACAGAUGUAUAAAAAAACCACUUCAUGGUAACAUCAUUCUAGAAUGGAGUUCAGCAAUCUUGACUCAACAGUAUUAAAAUUACUAAUUUGUUUUUAUUUCUUAGAAAUCCAAAAUUAGUCCUUAGUUCCACAAUAACUACACAAUUACCUUGGAGCAUUUCCAUAUAUUGACAGUGCAAGGUUUAA